rnacentral:lncRNA from 1 species
UACUUGCAAUCAUCGGUGCAAAAUAAGAGAGAUAAGAGAAUGGCAGCCAAACCUUCAGAAAACAGAAUUUCUGUCUUGGACAUGCUCCCAUUCAAAAAAGUAUCACAAGAUAACCAAGGAAAUAAAUCAGUGGAUCAAGACGGCAGAAAGUUAUUCACAGCCAGAUAGCAAAGCAGACGGAUGUAAUCAGUGCCUCAAUUAACAUCUAAAGGACUAGAGGAUGCAAAAUGACUGCCCAUGUCGCAAAAUGACCACAAAAUGUAAACAGUGCCUCAUGACACAAAAGGAUCACAGGAUGUAAACAGGUGCCUCAUUCACAAAAGGACUACGAGAUGGGCUUAACAGAAGCAACUCCAAGUCAUGACUUGCGGCAAAAGUGACAUGGGACUAUUGUGCCAGCGACAGAACCUAAUAGAAAACUAGUGACCCGCCCUCCCCAUAGGUGCCGUGCACCAGCACAGCUGGAGCACCAUCCUUCAGCGAGUAGGUUCCAACCUUGCUCAUCAUAGACGCCCUCCUUGCGUCCCGGACAGAGCAGAUCCUCAGAGUGGGUAAUGGGACUUCAUCUUCAAUCACAUGCACUGUCAUUAAGAGAAUAAAACAUCUGAUCAGUUCUAGCCAACACAAGUACCAUGACAACUGACCUCAAACUACACUUAUUUUCACCUGGUGGUAUCACAGGAACUUUCACUGACAGGUCCACGUUGAAGAUUUUCUUCACAUUAUCUGUUUAAGAAAAACAAAAGAUACAACUCAAAACUGACAACUUCCUUGAACAAAAUGUCAGAACAACAAUCAUAUACAGAAACAACAGGGCUAUCCUGAAGUACUUACCAACACAGCAGCAGAGUGUCAGAAUGCUCCCGUCCCAAAUAUACUUGUUGUAAACUGACGAGAGUACACAAUCUACAAAACAGAUGUAAAUGAACACACAUCAUCAGACUAAAAAAACAAAGUGUGCAUAGCAAACUAUAAAACAGAAAAUACAGCAUCACUAAAAUAAUUAGAAGGCAGUGAAUAAAAGAACAGCACCUUCCGGCAGAAGAGUCCCAUCAAUGGUGAACUUCAUUGGAUGCCCCACCUCAAGAUUCAGACGACCGCAUACAAGCUCCGCAAGUUCUUUGAUUGUAUUGCCACCAUAUAUCAUAUAGCUAUGAAGGAAAAGCACUAAUUAGGUCAAGUUCAUUGGCAGGGAAACUAAUUGAAUUAAGAUCACGUCAUAUAAACUAAGAAUGCCCUACAUAUUAUCUAUGUUACUCUAGCAGCUGAUUUAGUCCCAAAUUACUACAGGUACUAGCUUUGGCAUUAUCGAAAUCAGUUAUGUUUGACAACACACAACAGUACUACAAAUUCCACAAUUUGUAUACCUAACCACUGCAAGCCAUAUUUGAAGAGCUACUACUACAAUCCUCAGGUGCAUAUCUUCAAAAUUGCAUAAUCAUUUAACAGGUAAGAGAUUUCUUACAAGGUCUCUCUCAGAGAAAGCUUAGGCUUCAUUUUCCUUGGCAAGUGCAAAUCAAGGUAUACCUGCAGCAAAGAUGUACAAAGCACACAUCUCAAAGACAGUAAUCAAACAGAAAGUAAAGAUAUAAAAGAAUCACGAUCAGGAAUAAGUAACAUACGACAGUCAUGUUAAUACAGUCACGAUAGGCAUUCUCUAGAGGUACAUCGGGUGUCCAUAACCCAGGGACUUCAAACACAGGUGCAGCCUUGGAUACUUUCUUUGCUCUAGGACCUUGUGGUGGAUCCCCUCCAGGUGCAAAGCCGGACAAGGGAACGAACCGCACUUCCAAGGGACGAACCAUUCCUCCUUCUGAAAAGAAGAGUAAAGCAUACAGAAUAUUUGAGUAACUUAAAUAAACUGCUGAAAUCAAGCAGCAACAGACAAAAGGGAGAUUACAAAAUACUACAGAAUUGAAACAGAGGACAAGGGCCACUAGUCCAGCUCGAAAAUCUGCAGAGCAGAUGAUUUAUACGAGAUCUACACAAUAACUCUAAGAGAUCUAAACAGACAAACAAUGGGGCAGCACAGUAGAUAAAUCAUCUAUGAGAUCACUUACACAGCAUAAAAAACUCAGUUGCAAUUUAAAGGGAUCUAAUCCCGACACAAAGCCGAGUGCAUUGAAAAUGGUCCUAAUCACGACUCAAACCAGAACACAUGAACAACAGACCAUGCUCCAAACCAGAAGGCAUGAACAACAGACCAUGCUCCUGAAUCACAACAGAAUGGAGGGAAAAUAGGUCCUACUACCCACAUAGCACCAGGGCCUACUCCCGAAUCGAAACAGAGCCACUCUGUCCAGCUCGAAAAUCUGCACAGGAGACGGAUCUACACAUACCACACAGAGAUGCAUACAGUUCAAGGGGACAGCAUGGAGGAUGAAUCCUCGACGAGAUCCACGCGAUGGUUCACCUACGAGGUCUAUGCAGGGGAGGUGACCGUCUACGAGAUCUACGCCAUGGAUCGUCUACGAGGUCUAGGCAGGAGAGACGAUCGUCGACGAGAUCUACGACAUGGAUCAUCUACUAGGUCUAGGCAGGGGAGACGAUCGUCGACGAGAUCUACGCCAUGGAUCAUCUACGAGGUCUAGCAGGGGAGACGAUCGUUCUACGAGAUGUACGCGACGGACGGAUCGACUUACCUUGGUAGCUCGCCGGGGAAGCCGACGGAGGGGACGAAGGGGGCGCUGCCGGCUGGUGGCGGCGCUCGGGGAGGGGAAAAGGGGAGGGGCGAAAUGAGAUAAGCAGCCAAUAUAUAGCGGGAGGUAAGCUAGGGUUUUCGUUCGGCCAGGCGGGCUAGGCCGGCUGGAGCAUUGCUGGAUCCGUUCAGAAUGUUCCCUGGCCUGUUAAGGUUGGGGAUCGUUGUGGGCUUCCUUCCAGCCGAUGGGCUGAUUAGUCCAGCGCUAUGGUUGGGUAGGCUAAUUAGUCCAGAUGUAAACCAUGUAGAUUUUUGUUUGAUGAACCGGAAAAUCACCAUAUAGAGAACACAAAAGCAGUCAAAUCUAAUUUAUAUUCAGAAAUUGGCCGCUGGUAGUCGGACUUCACUAGCCUAUGAAUUUGAUGCCCGGGACAAACAAAUAUGCACAGAGAAACAAAUCAGAAAUAAUAAGACGGAACUUGACGAAACAGAAUAGGUUUGGACAGCAAAAGGCAGAUCCACAAUGAACUUAAAAUGGAAAAAUUAAGGACCCUGAUAAGUGUCACAUGUGUGGCACAAAGCAAUUCCAUCAUGACGUUUUUUAUGGCAACUUUAGUUGUGAAUUAUGACAACUUUUUAUUUGAAUGGCAAGUUUCAGUUUUUUUUCUUUUUUUGGAUGGCAAUUUUAGUUGUAAUAAUGUCAGGUCGGUGUUACUUCGUGCCACACGUGUGGCACUUAUUUAUUUAAUUAAAGGAAGGCCAAUUUUUUUUCCAAAUAAAACCAAAUCAAUGGACUUAUCAAUCCAUGUGAACUAAAUGGUGUCGGACCAAUCUAGUUUUUUUUUUCUCUCGAACAACAUAAAAAUCAGCCAUACUAUGCGAAAGAAAGAACUAGUGAAGCCCAAACACCAUGUCUCAUUGUUGGUCUUUGUCAAAGUGAUUCCAUGACCAUGAGAAAGAACUCCAUGUCUCUUUGUUGGGACUUUUGUGAAAGUGAUUCCGUGACCAUCAGAAAGAACUACAUGACCAUAGGAAAAACUUGGUUCUACUAGGUGGUGCACGGGCAUGGCUAUGAGGACGAAACUCAUAUCCUCGGUGUGGAGGACUCAAUGGACAUGCAUACAAGGAGGGCGAAACUUUGCUCUAGGGGAAGGAAGAAGAACACUGCCAUCCAUUUCGGGCGGGGGGUGCGAGCCUCGCGCUCCACCAACGGAGUAUCAUACGGGAUUUUAGUUUCCGAUGUAUAUUGAACGCAAUCGCAUAUGUUUUAUCUUUAUUUAGAAACAAGCAAAUAGUUUCAUUCCAAAUUUUAACGUAACGUGUACCGGCGCUCUGGCAUCUAAUUGUUCAGAGCAUUGCCACCUCCUAUGAGCUAGCGAAACCUCUUGUGCAGAGGGACGGAACAAAGCAAUCGGUAAACGUGUAGUCACUCCGUCCGGAAAUACUUGUCCUGAAAAUUGUUGUAAAUGGAUGUAUCUAUUACUAAAAUAUGUCUAGAUACAACCAUUUUAAAAACAAGUAUUUCCGGACAGAGGGAGUUUACGUUGUACUCGAGUGAGUGAGUCGCCGGCUUGUGAUUUAGCAAUAGGGAGAGAAACAAGCUAGAGACAAAAAUAUUUAGUCAAAAGGGACAAAACUGUGUGGAUCUGUACAGCGACACAUGCAUAUCGUCACGAGAUGAAACCACUUUGAUGCACCAUGUCGUGCUUGACUUGCGUGCAGAGAAAUAACGUGCACACACCCUAAGAGAAGAAAUAUGGUGCGCAGGUGAACCCUCAUGCAUGUAUGCAUGCAUCAAUGAGGCUGUAGUUCAUGUCAGUGGUGCAGCAACAAGCAACAGCUAGCCAACGUACAGGGAGGGGGUCAUUGUGUUAAAAAAGAAGUACAGGGUCAUGUGACUCCUCCAUGGCUGCGACGAAUCAAUAAGGAAGCCGGCGAGUAGCCAUCCUUUACGAGUUCUCCUACGAGGCCAUAACGAAACGCACGCAAGCUGCCGGUGCAGGGUAGUAACUAAUUAAGCACACUAAAAAUCUGAAGAAUCAAAACAACAAGACGAAAAGUGGAAGCUAUAUAUCAUGGCAUUCUUCUCACCGCCCUCCCCAUCUCGGCCAAGAUCAAGCGCUUCUGGCCACACAAGCAUGCUCCACAUCGACAAGGACCCGCUCACUCCAUGUAAGCGGCGAUGCCAGUGCCCCCGAGUAGAGAUCCACCAUGGGCCGUGCUUUUGUCAAAUAAUCCAAACCUAUUUAACCCUGCGCAAGGACGCGCAUGAACAGAGAUGUCAAAUCUCCAAACGUAGUGUACCCACACUCAGGGAUGCGCAAGAAGAGAGAUGUGUUAUUUCGCAAAUUAACCACCCUAGGACGCCCACAAACAGAGCGCAAAUUCUCCAAACCUAGUCAACCCUAGGCCGCGUACCAACGGAGACGUGUUCUUGUGUCAAAUUCCUCCAAAACCUUAUUCACUCUAGAACGCACAAAAACAGAGACGUCAAAUCCUCCAAACCUAAUUAACCCCGACAAGGCAAACCCGAAAUCCUUGGUUUCUGCGGUCUCGACGUCUGACCAUCGAGAUCCGCGCAGUCCCCGCAUCCGCGCCGGCGGAACACGAAUCGCACAAGAGGAAAAAGGGCAGCAGCGGCAAGCACGUACGAAACCAAGUAUGGAAACUUACAUAGCAGAUCCGGCUCUCCCGUGCAAAACCCUCUCCACCGCCUCCACAGACCCUGCGUUGCCAUGCAUCUCGCUGGUUUGCUCCCGGGUGAAAACCGGUCCUGGAUCCGAUCCAGAGACGAUGACCAUGUUCUUCCCUGCUGGGUGGAUCCACGGAGCACCUGGAGAAAGAAGGCCGAGUCAGGGAGAUCUGGUAGGGGGACGAGCGCGAGGGAGGACACGGAACAAGAGGAUGAACCCCCCAUGAACAUGAUAUUGAUACCUGGCCUUGGGGGCGAUUGGUUGAGCGGCGCAGAGGGGAUGAAUGAGGGGAAACGGAGCACGCGGGUUGUAUAUUGCCGGGGGGUGAUAGAUGGGGCUGAAAAGGAGGACGGGGCCGUGAGCUGUACGCUUGUCCGGUAUCGGCUGGAAAAAGAUCGCCGAGUAAUUAGGUUUUAAUCAAUGCUGGAGUAUAUACUAAUGCUAAUAGAAUACGGAGUAUAUACACGUAAAUAAAUGGAUGAUUUCUACGUAUCCGGACGUAUUGGAUGGGAGGUGUACGUAGACUUGUUGGACGGUCUUAACGAAAAACCCGGCCCGGCCGGUUCCGUCAGAGUCGCUAAAUACAUAAACAAACUCCCCGCAUUAGCCGCCGGCCGGCGCGUUGGGUGCAUAAUCGAUUCUUGUGCGGAUGGACUAAACAAACCAUCGACCCAUCGUGGGCAUCUUCAUCAAACCCUAAUUACAAGUAGAGCGAGCGAGCAAGCGACAGAUGCUAGCUGCGGAGAAAAUGCUUAAGAAACCAUUAACCUCGGCUUCGGCUUCGGCUUCAUCUUAGUGCAUGCAUGCAUGCAAGUGGCAUUUCUUUUUACUGAUGGACAUGCCCACCAAAAGAUGCAUCUUGAGCUGCCUGCCAAACUUGAGCUCGGCGUGCCCACCCUCCUCCUCGAGCUGUCCAUUUUUCCAUGUCGUGGUGCUAUGGAAUCCGAUGCUUUUGACGCUAUAAUGGGGGCUCCAUCCAGCAGCCUCACAGGGGACACAAGAGCUCUGGCGAGCAUUUGAACACAGAUUAACAACAAGCAGCAGCAGAAAAACAGGAGUAAAAAUCAAACGAUACCCAUACCCAUAUGCAUAGACAUGGGCGCAACCAGGCUAAGAGCAGUGCCGAAACUCGCUACUCCGACUGAUGAACGGAGCAUGUCAUCGGCGGCAAGCAUGCAUCAAAACAACGAACCAAGUAGUGGCUCUACCGUCGAGAGAGCAACUCUUGGGGCUUGGCCAACGGAAAGCUUCCCGGCCGGACCAACGUACUAGUGCGUGGUAGGGGGCAUGGCAUGUGCACCGCAGUCUAGUGCCACUGACUUUUUUCUUUUCUUUUUACCUUGAACCAAGUACCACUGACUUUUCUUACGACGACGAGGCUUUGGCAGACGAGCCACUGGCUAGUGAGGGCCGUUGGACGUACGCUGAAAUUGCUGGCACGUCAUCAAUGCGGUUGUCGGAGGAGUAAUGUGACUGACGGUGAUUCAUGAGGUCGUCCGCGAAGCAGAUGACCGACAACAUGCCGGUGCAUGUAGCAGCGGCCGAGGUGCACUCCUUGCGGCUGAGAACGUCGUCCGCCAUCGAGGAGAGCGAGGAGGCCACCGAGCUCCGGUGUCGUAACUUUGCCGGUUCCCUUCGUGAUAUAUAUAUAUAUAUAUAUAUAUAUAUAUAUAUAUAUAUAUAUAUAUAUAUAUAUAUAUAUAUAUAUAUAUAUAUAUAUAGUGGUGGUCGGCGCCACGCAGCAUUGGGAUAUAACUUGCUUGGCCGUGAUCCUGGUGCUAAACGACGGCAUGGCCAUUCAAGUCUGAAGAGAUGCUCGAUGCCGAGACCACUACGGCGUCGGUGGUGCCCGUGCCCGAGGUGAAGGGAGCUCGGACGAGGUGGCCGGUCAUGGUGACUGCAGCCGCGUGCUCCAGUACCGACGGUGAUGUACAGUAUGGGUUCAGAGAGGGCAGGCCAUCGCUUAGGCCAACUCCACCGCUCGACCACGUCCGUUUUAUCUGGAUUCUGUCCAUUUGGAUAAGGUAAUGAGGUUGUAUCCGGGCCGUUUCUGGGAUGAGGUGGAAGUGCGCCCAAUGCGCGGGCGUAUCUUUUUCUUUGCAAGCUCUUAAACUUUUUUCAUCAUCCAUUCUUGGUACAUGCAUGGGAAUACAUCACCAAAUUUUGACUAGAAAAGUAAGACCAAAGAAAACAAGAAUCACAAUAAUACAUUUUAGAAGAUAUCCAACUUUCAUAACUGCUCUUGUAAGUUGGAUUAGUGCCUUCUCGAUGCAUUUAUUGUUGAUCUACGGAGGAGCCGCCUCCAUCUUGCGUGUUUCUUUCUUCUUCGAGUCUAAAGAAGUAGAUGUUGCUUCCUUGCAUCUAGUCUCGUGUCUAGCCUCUAAUCUAGCAACAAGUGCACUUGUCUCAUCUACAGCCGCUAUGCUAGCUAAAAAUGCACGAACAUCUACUAAAUUGAACUCUAUCAAUAUAUCGAUGUACUCUUCUUCCCAAUACCAAAACUUGCAUCCAUUCUACACAACAAAAUUUGAAGUUAGCACAACUAGUCAAAUCUAGAGCACAAACCGAAGCUAAAAAGAGCACAUAGCCCAUUGUUUAAGCACUUGAUGAACACCCAUCCGAGAUGUUCCGGCAUUGUAGACACGCGGCGCACUUAAUGAGCGGCAACGAUGCGCCGACGAGCUUUUGGGCUAGCACCGAGCCCGGCCAACCGCCAUUCGUGUAUCUGUCGGCGGACCACCGACGGUGUAGAUCCGAGCGGCUAGAGGAGGAGCCACUGCCUGCAUGUGGCCUUGCGGCCCUGCCAUGGCCUUCCGGCCCGGUGCCCGGCCAGUCCAUGGCGCGGCACGGCCUCCCACAGCGGGGCGAGCUCAAGACCGACCGGAUCCGCCCCAAAUCCGGCCGGCGGGUGCACAAAACAAGUGGCCGUGGUUGGGUAGCUUGGGGGCGUCGAGGGAAAGGGGCUGGGCGAGCGCGCGUCCGAGCUGCACUACUACAAUGGCAGCGGCGGUGGCGAGGGAAGAGCGGGGAAGAGUGGAGAAGAAUGGAGGACGUGUGGCCUGAGGAAAGGAGGGGGCGGAUAGAAAAAGACGCCCCUGUGCCACCGACGGGCAGGUCAGGGGGGGCACAUGCAGACGGCUCGCGUGUCCGCGUGCUGUCCGUUUUACCCCAAAAGCGGCGUAAACUUGGACCUGGGAUGGGUCAAAAGCGGACAGAAAACAAGCAAAAAUCUGUUUGCACUCGCGCGUUGGGCCGUCUGAUUCGUCUGUUUUACUUUAAACGGACACGCGCAGACAGAAUGGAAUAUUGCGCGAUGGAGUUGGCCUAACGAAAUUAGGAGGGUGCUUGGAUCCAAGGGACUAUUUUUAGUCUGACUAAAAAUAGUCUCUUUUAGAGGCUAAAGUUCCAAGCACCCCUGACUAAAAAGAGACUAGGACUAGUCUUGAGGCUAAAAACUUUUAGUCACAGGAAACCUACUAAAAUAUGUAUUAGCCCUUUCUCUCCUCAUUUAAUUUCUCUACUUUAACACAUGCGAGUUCUGGAUUGGAUGGUUUGAAGAAUAAUAAAUGCUUAAUAAUUUGAUUUUAGUCUUUUUAGUAUUUGGAUCCAAGCAUGGGUGAGCCUAGCAAGUUUUAGUCCCACUACUUUUAAUCAUGGGACUAAAACGUAUCAAACACUCUCUAGAUCAUCAGCUUGCUGAAGCUACGGUCUCGUGAAUCGUGAUCCGUGAUCCGUGAUCCAUGCAGGCGUGCAUGCAUGCAUGCAUGGUGCAGCGGAGCGGAGCGUACGCGUCGCCUUUGCUUGGCGCGGUAGCUUUGGUGACGGUAGAAAGAAUUUUUCUCUCCGUGCAUGGAGAGGGGAAGGGAGGCGAGAAAGCACACUUCCUCCCAGAGCCAAUCACCGCGGACUAGGCAGAUCAGUGAGCUGGCCACCUCAGGCCACAAAUGUGUCCCUGUCCGCGGGAGCAGGAUCCCCUGACGUACGGUCCCUGACGUGGGGCCACUGACGGGUGGGUCCGGGCCCACACGACAGUGUGUGCGCCGUACGUCAGAGGAGCCCCGUCCCUGUCCGCGGGGCCCUUAUCCGUUUGUGGGAAUAUCGUGGGUCCCGCCAUGACUUAGCCGUUGUAGAACAGCUUUCUCGCCUCCGCCCAACCUCAAAUUGAAUCACAGCGAAACUGAAACACACGGUGAGACGACCCCUUUUUUAAGAGAAUUUCAUAUUUGACCUUUUCUUAAACUUUGCUUUCCUUUUUGGCCUAAAUUUUUGUGUUUCUUUUUUGACCCUCAAAUUUUAUUUUGUUUCCUGUGUGACACUUUCGUUAGUUUUGACCUAUAACGGUGUUAAGUUUAACCUGAAAAGACUAUUUUAUCCACCCUCAAAAAAAAAGACUAUUUUAUCCUUAGUGUUGUAUGUGACUGAAUUAUUUAUAUGCACACAUGCAUCUGAUCACCUCGAUGUGUUGGAGCUGAACACGUACCUGCAAAGUAGCCUCAACAAAGCAGCCAAGUAGGCAGCUUAAUUGAUUUACAGUACCUAGCUAGCAGUACAUGUACUAUAGCCGUGCACGUAUGUACUGGUCGGCCGGCGAGUUGCACCAGGUAGCCUGCAAUCCAUCUAUUUGUUUCGUGUUCGUUCCAACGAGAGAAGUCGCUACGUUCCCAGAGACGAUGAGAUCGAUCGAGCAGAAGCUAGUCGCGUAUGUCUACGCAAGAGUAAGGCCAGAAUCAAUUAAGUUGCCAGCCUGGUAGCUUGCAUGUACACUGCUGCUACUUAAAAAUCAAUGGAGCUGCUUGCGUGUGCUAGCUUGCACGUAUAUAUUGUUUCUGAAGGAUACGAGCUACAGUUGUAAUACGGUGUACAAACACGGCCGACAGCCUCGGAGCCGCCGUGCAUGGGAGGUGGCAGCGGCCUCGGCGCACCCAUGCACGGGAGGAGGAAACGGCCGGCCGCUUGUCAGGCACGGGGAACCUCGGCCCCAACACGGAUACAUGGAGGAGCAAGAAACCUAUACACACACGUACAGGAGGUUAUGUUGUGUUCCCAACACAGAUUUUCUCUAUAUAUUUUUUUAAAAAAACUCCCAACACAGAUCCCUCCCUCUUCCCCUUCUUUUUCUGUCCGUUCAUGCCCCUUCUCUUUUCUUUUCCUGUGACAUACUAACAUCAAGGACAAAAUUGUCAUUGCAUGUGCUAGUUAACAUCAUUGGAUGGAAAAAUGGAUGAAAGGGCCACAUAGGCACAAAAUGAAGUUUAAGUGUCAGAAAGGGAAGAAAAUAAUUUAAGGGGCUAAAAAGGAAAGCAAAUUUUAAGAAAGAGCCAAAUAAGGA